UACGGAGGGUGCAAACGUUGCUCGGAAUCAUUGGGCGUAAAGCGCACGUAGGCGGCCUGUUAAGUCGGAUGUGAAAUCCCUCGGCUUAACCGAGGAACUGCCCUCCAAACUGCUUUGCUUGAGGCCGGGAGAGGCGAGUGGAAUUCCCAGUGUAGCGGUGAAAUGCGUAGAUAUUGGGAGGAACACCAGUGGCGAAGGCGGCUCGCUGGACCGGUUCUGACGCUGAGGCGCGAAAGCGUGGGGAGCAAACGGG
rnacentral:rRNA from 1 species